rnacentral:rRNA from 1 species
AACGAACGCUGGCGGCGCGCCUAAUACAUGCAAGUCGAGCGAGAAGACGUAGCAAUACGUUUGUAAAGCGGCGAACGGGUGAGGAAUACAUGGGUAACCUACCCUCGAGUGGGGAAUAACUAGCCGAAAGGUUAGCUAAUACCGCGUACGCUCCUUGGACUUCGGUUCAGGGAGGAAAGCGAUACCGUGGGUAUCGCGCUCUUGGAUGGGCUCAUGUCCUAUCAGCUUGUUGGUGAGGAACGGCUCACCAAGGCUUCGACGGGUAGCUGGUCUGAGAGGACGAUCAGCCACACUGGCACUGCGACACGGGCCAGACUCCUACGGGAGGCAGCAGUAAGGAAUAUUGCGCAAUGGUCGAAAGCCUGACGCAGCGACGCCGCGUGGGGGAUGAAGGUCUUCGGAUUGUAAACCCCUUUCGGGUAGGGAAGAUGGAACGAGCAAUCGUUCGGACGGUACCUCCAGAAGCAGCCACGGCUAACUUCGUGCCAGCAGCCGCGGUAAG